rnacentral:rRNA from 1 species
UACGGAGGGUGCAAGCGUUAAUCGGAAUUACUGGGCGUAAAGCGCACGCAGGUGGCUGAGUCAGUCGAUUGUGAAAGCCCUGGGCUUAACCUGGGAAUUGCAGUCGAUACUACUUAGCUAGAGUAUGGGAGAGGGCAGUGGAAUUCCCGGUGUAGCGGUGAAAUGCGUAGAUAUCGGGAGGAACAUCAGUGGCGAAGGCAGGUUACUGGGCAUUAUCUGACGCUGAGGCGCGAAAGCGUGGGGAGCGAACAGG